CAGCGUCAAAUAAAAAAUAAGAGGUAGUACUAUUUUCUGGGCGGUCGUCCAUUCAACAAGGUACAAAAUGCAGUGAAUUUAUUAACUAAUUAUAUUUGUUUGUUAAACCCCUUUCCAUGUUGUACUCCCUAACACAUAUGCUCUCAAGCUUUGUGGCCUACAACAAUGGUAUUUACUGCGAUAGAAGCCAUGCCCCAGAUUUUUUCGCAACCUGCACUGCUAUUUUUUCUAUGUGAAGUUUUUUUAUCAAACAUUGUUGUCGAUGUCAUAACAGAUGAGUUAUACAUAUCUCCAAAGUUGCUACUACACAUUACUCACCCUUCCUUAUUUUCCUUCACCUCCUCGCCCAAGAAUAUCCGCUUCAUCUAGUUUUGACUAUUCAUUUUAUUGAUCAUUUGUGCACACAUGGCCACAUUCCUAUAUAUGAUUAACAUGCGUCGUUUGUUUUUUUGCCAUCAUAGUGCUCCGUGCUCCAUAUUCUUAUGAGUUCGAAUGGAAUUUUAGUAUGUAGCUAAUGGAGUAGCUAAUAAAAAUAUCAUCUUUUCAUACAAUAGCUAAUUACCACUAACUUCUUCAAAACUAUUUGUUCCCAACUUAAAGGAUAACUCGAGGAUUGAAGCGACACAUUGAAGAGUUAUAGUUUCAUAUAAACUGGGUUAAGUUGUGCAAUUUUCUCUUCAUUUUUUAGAGCAGACACUUACAUUAUUGUUUUUUCUUCACUAUACGAGGAAUUACACAACUAUUGUUUCUCUUUCCUCUCUGUCAAUAACCAUUCCAUUACUCCAGUGAUCAUCCUAUUCGCUCUGAAAGAAAAAAGAACCUCACUGUAAGAUAGAUAUAUUUCUCGGCCCUCUGUUGCGGGCGGCGACUGGCACAGGACGAGGGAAUGCGUGGACCUUGGGUUCAUCGGCCUCGCUUUCAACUCUGACUGCAACAUUCUAUCCGAGGUCGUUACAGACCGUCCUGCAAAGACCUGUGUCGUGCGAAGAACUAGGCUUCUCCGGCUUCGCCCUCUGCUAUGACUGCAACACGCUCUCUAAUUUCAUCAAGGACCGAGGUACAGACGGUUGAAUGCUGUUGCAACACAUGCUGCUACAACGUUCAUUGAUUUUUUCCACUUUACUGCUACUCAGGGAUAUUGUUUCCUCCAGAACCUUUAAUUUUGUGUACUAUAAUACAUAAUAGUCCUUCGACCAUUUAUAUAUGAGCAUGUAUAUUUUUUAUUUCUCUUUAUACUUAGCCAUAACAUCAGUUUCUACUUUUCAGAAUCUUCAACCCAUUCUUCAUUACACCAGAUUCUGUUUAGCAGUUUUCACGCCCUUCUUCGUCAUAUCAAAUUCUAUUUUGUGACCUUUCAAACUUUUCGUUAUACCAGAUCCUAUAUUUCGAGUUUUAGAUCCUUAUUCAUCACAUCAGAUUUUACCUUUAGAGUUUUCACACCCUUCUUUAUAACAACUAAUUCAAACUUUUCGGUUUUCAAGUUCUUUUUGCAGGCUUUGAACAGGCCCUCCCCCUAUAUGCAUGUUGUACAUGUAGGCUCACCAUCCCCACUACUUUCACCAGCUUUCAGAACUGUCCUUCUACCUCUCCUUAGUUGUUCAUCUCAAACCAGAAAAAACAUAUGCAUACUCAUAUAUUUAUUAUUUCUCUUUACAUCUAGCAUUUCCAUAGAGUUAUGAUGUUCGGCAAGAAAAACAACUAUUGCAUAACUUCUUCCAUUGCAUACCAAUAUCAUAAUCAGGAUAGCUUCUCCUUAUAGAACAUGGCAAUAAGCACCUGAUAUCCUAAGAAUAUGGCUGACUGAUAGUUGAUAAAUGUUAUAGCAUUUACCUGUGUGUUAGUUUUUUUCCAGUUAGGUAAAAAUUAUGCGCAGUUAUGAAUUUUGAACAUCACUAUGUUCAACUGCAACUUGAAGCAUUUUAUCCGCUAUUUUAUUGUUUCUACAGACCUUUGGUUUCACUUACGUAUCCACUAACCUUUUAGAUAAACAUAUAGACGCUAACUAUCUUCCAUUUAAUGGUUAUUGUUUCUGUUUUAUCUCAUUGGGCAUUUUCCACAAGUAUGCCUCUAUUAAAGAAAAUGAAACAAAAUUUACUGUGGAUGAUCAGAAAAUGGCUCAUGUACUAGGUAUUGUACUCAUUUAUCACUCUAUUCGAUCUCACCUUUGCUCCAGUAGUCGAAUGGUAAAACAACAAACUAUCUGCACAAGUGGGCAUUUCAUGAGCUUUAGUUCAGUGUGCAGUUUGGAACUUACCAUGAUGGUCAUAUAUGGAAUAUUUUUUGGGAUAUAAAUAAUGGAACAAUUCUGUUUUGGGAGCUUUCAAUCCCUUUUUCAUUACACUAGAUCCUAUAUUUAGUGUAUUAAAAUUCUUGUCGCAUCAGAUUCUACCUUUAAAGUUUUCAGACAUUGAUUUCCAAUUUUUUGGUCGCAUUCCUGCACAAGGCAAUCAGUGAUGAUUUUUUCCUUAACCAUAAUAAUUUGUCAUUCUAUAUUUUCAUGGAAUUUGUAAUUUUACUGUAAGGUGUUGUUUUUAGAAAAAAAA